ACUCAAAGGAAUAGACGGGGGCCCGCACAAGCAGUGGAGCAUGUGGUUUAAUUCGAAGCUACCCGAAGAACCUUACCAGGUCUUGACAUCUGAGUAAUCGCUUGGAGACAGGCGAGUGCCUUUUUAGGAAACUCAAGACAGGUGGUGCAUGGUUGUCGUCAGCUCGUGUCGUGAGAUGUUGGGUUAAGUCCCGCAACGAGCGCAACCCUUGAUGUCGGUUGCCAGCAGGUAGAGCUGGGCACUCCGGCGUGACUGCCGUAGAGAAUACGGAGGAAGGCGGGGAUGACGUCAAAUCAUCAUGCCCUAUAUGACCUGGGCUACACACGUGCUACAAUGGGGUGAACAACGGGAGGCGAGCCUGCGAAGGUAAGCGGAACCCUAAAAACACCUCUCAGUUCGGAUUGCAGGCUGCAACUCGCCUGCAUGAAGUCGGAAUUGCUAGUAAUCGCGGAUCAGCAAGCCGCGGUGAAUACGUUCCCGGGCCUUGUACACACCGCCCGU
rnacentral:rRNA from 1 species